rnacentral:tRNA from 1 species
UUUAGCUCAGUUGGUAGAGCACUUGACUUUUAAUCAAGAUGGCAUGGGUUCGAUCCCCAUAG